AUGUUAAAAACCGAUCCAAAGCAUUGGUGUAGAGCAUGGCUCAACUUAGGAAGCAAUUGUGAUUCUGUCGACAAUAAUAUGUGUGAAAGUUUUAACAAAUGGAUUGUAGAAGCUAGGUUCCUCCCAAUUCUUUUCAUGCUAGAGACAAUUAGAAGAAUGGUGAUGGUCAGAAUACAAGAGAACAGAGACAAGUGUGAGAAAUAGGAUGAUCCUAUAUGUCCCAAUAUAAGCAAGAAAUUAAGCAAGGCCAACGAUGUUUCUGGUAUAUGUCAAGUAAUGGAAAUAACUGUUUUGAGGUGCCACGUGGAUCUCAAAGGUUUACAGUUGACCUCAACCAGAUGA
rnacentral:rRNA from 1 species